rnacentral:rRNA from 1 species
UCCAGACUCCUACGGGAGGCAGCAGUGGGGGAUAUUGCACAAUGGGGGGAACCCUGAUGCAGCGACGCCGCGUGGGUGAAGGAGCGUUUCGGCGCGUAAAGCCCUAUCGGCAGGGGAGAAGGAGGACGGUACCUGACUAAGAAGCCCCGGCUAACUACGUGCCAGCAGCCGCGGUAAUACGUAGGGGGCAAGCGUUAUCCGGAUUUACUGGGUGUAAAGGGGGCGCAGACGGCAGCGCAAGCCAGGAGUGAAAGCCCGGGGCCCAACCCCGGGACUGCUCUGGGAACUGCGUGGCUGGAGUGCAGGAGGGCAGGCGGAAUUCCUGGUGUAGCGGUGAAAUGCGUAGAUAUCAGGAGGAACACCGGUGGCGAAGGCGGCCUGCUGGACUGCAACUGACGUUGAGGCCCGAAAGCGUGGGGAGCAAACAGGAUUAGAUACCCGGGUA